rnacentral:lncRNA from 1 species
GAAUGAGGAUCACUUUUGUACGAUUAAUUUCUUUGUUAAGGAUGUCAUACUUGCAAACAUUUCUAAUCACGUGAAAAACAUCAUGUUUUAUCAAAUCCCAGAGAAACCAUUGGGACCAGGGGCUUUGAGUUGAGAAAGCCAAGGUGGAAGGUGAUGUCAUGGAUUUCAUCUUAGAGUCUCUAAGUGAAAAAGUAUUCAUUUCGCUAAAGAUACAUUCUUCAACCACAUCAAGUGCUUCACUUGUGCAAGAGCUAUCUCGGAUUUUAAAGAGGUCUCAAAAUGAUUGAGGAUGUAGUCAUGAAGAGCACUUUUGUUUUCAAUCCAU